AGUUGUUACAUGUGUCCUGUGCUAAUAAGAAUAUUUCUUUAGGAUCAGUGUGUUAGUUUGGUCCAAUAUAAGACGCCUCAAUGCAGAGCAUAGUCUUAUGUAGACCAAAUGGUAAAAAAAACUGCAGUAAGAGGAAUCAGAAACCCUUUCAUCUUCAGAGUGAGUUAGGUACAACUGUUCCAGUACUCAGAAGUGCUAGAAUGCUUUAUCAUUGUACCUCUGUGUACAUAAAUGUGCUAAGCUCUUCGUGAUUCUUGAUGCAAUAUUGCCUAGAGAGGCACUAUUACUUGUGCUUUUCUCGGUUAACAAAUUGAUUGCUUUAUUUAACUGACUUUGGAAAGUCUGCAUGAAUGCUGCAGACACCGGUUACAAGAAUCAUGAGCUGGUUUGUGUUCUGGAAGGAGCUGCAAGUUACUUUGCAGUUUAUCUGGUGCUGUUCUGAUCAGAAAAGUGACUGUAUAUAGGUAAUGUGAUCAGCUUCCUUUUUUGUAGAGUCACUCUCUAUCAAGGCCAAAAUCCUUCGUGUUUUUUUACUAUUUCAGUGCCAUGACACAACAUUUCAGCCUUCUGCAGGUAUAAUUGAAGGCCAGAAUUUGGCUUUUAAAAUCUUCACUUUUUUCUUCCACCCCAAUGCGUCGUAACGAGAAGAUAAACUUUAAUAACUUACUGAAUCAACUUCAACAACUUGAUGUGCAUAAGGAACAUCUGUUUUGGAAGUACAAAUGAAAUACAAAAGAAAUACUGCAAAUAUGUUUGUGUCCCUUCCUUAAAAUGAAAUGCUUUUAUUUUACCCAUACUUCUGGAUAUACCACAUACAUUUUUAUUUUAUUUAAGGGAUAAGACUGGAACAUAUCUUCUCAGAAGGUAAUCUUGAAGCUGAAAAUCUUAAUUUCAGGUUCCUAAGUGUUUUGAUGUUUAAAUCCCCAAAUGAGUAGCCUAACAAUACACAGUAGGUUUAAAAAA